rnacentral:lncRNA from 1 species
CUUCUGAUUUCAUUACACUCAGUGCUGAGACUGGUUUGGAAUAUGAAUUUGGGGCAAAGAUAAAAGGCUAUGUUGGUGUCCUUUACCUAUCAACUCUCUACCAGUAUUACUUAAGAUGGAUCUAGACAAGGAUCCCACCUCAUAUAUCUCAGGGAAAAAUAUUUGUGAUUGACAUGUGUUUCUAUCAAACACCACGAGUGCUAAAACGUACCUUUUACAUCCUUGUGCCAUGACUGAAAUCUUAGCAUAAGUCAGAAGAAACUUCAUCUUUGUGUCAGAAUCAGCUCCUGGCUGGCCAAUACAAUGUUCCUAGUAUGGCAUAGUAUUAGCCAAGCUGCUCUUGGCUAAUGUUGGUCUGCAGUUUUUGUGUUAUAACACUUAAAGGUGAGAUUUUGCUCUUUUGGUUUGUUUGUAAUUAAAAUAGAUGAAUUAGUUACCUCCAAUUUACAGGUAGCUCCAGAAACAUAAAGACAAUACACAGUGCCCUAGAUUUAUGAUCUAUUUUGUUGAACUGAAUAAAACCUUUUUAUACAGUGACAGAAACAUAACUAGAGUAGCAAAUGGUGCUCCUUUACCUGUUAUUAUCUGUGUUGCCGUGAAGCCUAGGAUACCUGUCUGAUUUAAGUUAUUUCAUCUUUCUGUGUCCUAGGAGACUGUGAAAAAUAGAAAAAAUGCCAUAACAUUUUUCUCCAGAAUGGAUAAUAUGGGAAUUAGCUUCCUUUUUCAUUCUGAUGUAAGGGAAAAAAAAACCCAACAACCCAGGCUUUCAGUCAAAUUCUCACCUACUGAAGAUGUGUACUGAUUUGUGGAUCAUGGCCAACGACUCUGAAGUCUUGUCAAUUCUAUUCUGCAGGCUUUCUAAAAGAGAAAAGACAAGAACUCUUUUCUCCAACCAGCUGAAAACUUGUCCUGGUCAUUAAUACCUCACCCUCCAUGACUUCUCCUGGCUCCUCCACUCAGAUUAACAGAAUACAGUCCAAGGCAUACCCAUGGCUGUGUGGAAACCAUACACUGGAGCUGGGUCACCAGUUUAUCAGCCAGGCUUUGACUGCAGGCAGCAGCUCCACAAUGACUCUGAGCAAGACCAGGAUCAAUGACCAGUGAAAGUAAAUGCCAGACCACAGUUGUCUCUGCAGGAUGCAUUCAUGGAGAGCUGGGAAUUUCCAUACCCUCCUGGCUGAGACGAUAAGUGCUUGAAUAUUUCACAGCAAAAAAGUCCUGGGAAAAGCAGAACUAUUUCUUGUGAUAAAGGCUGGCUGCACAUUUUGGGAAGAUGAGCUUGUCAGGGAUGUUGCUGCACUCAGGCUGAACCUGUGGGAAGUGUGCCUGUUCCUAAUAAAUGUUGUGUGUAUUUAUGUGGCA